CGAAAUGUUCAUAGAGAAGAAUCAUAUAAAACAAACAAUUUAACACACAUUCUUUUAUAAAGCAUGCAGAAUUUAUUUCGACUAUACACAUACAACUGUACACACGCUCAUCGUUGAAAUUUUCAUUAGCCAUGGUAAUAUAAGUAUCUGAUUCUGUCCUGCACACAUUACUGAUGGUAAAUCUAUUUAGUCAAAUAAAUAUUAACAUAGAUCUACCGUACGUAUUUUAUUUAGGGAACCAUUUCACCAAUGUAUUCAUGACUAAAUCUUUUGAAUAUAUUGAAUAUCUAUAUUAUCCCUCGUCUAUAGAAUAGAUUGAAAGCAAGUUAGUGGCAUGUCAAUAGAUUCUUUGAUGUUAAAUCGAUCUAUCCCGUGUACUUUUCUAUGUUUAAUAAUAUUUCUAUUUUAUAAAAUAAGAUAGUUCUUUUCGUAACUUUGAUAAACCUAAAUAAUAUCGAUGGAUUGUCACUUAUUUUAGACAAAGAGAUGUUGUGAUAUUUUAACUUCGUAUUUUUAGAAAGAAAAGGAAGUUAAUAUAUUGUACUUCUUUAGUUACUCUCAUUAUUAACGUGGCAAUCCUGUGAAGAGCAACGGUCGUGUACAUAUCACUUGUUAUAUGGAUGGAAAACCUACAAUUCUAUGGGCAAUGGUUCGAGCAUGAAAAAGUCACAGCGGACCAAGCCCCGGGUUGUGCUUGAGUCACCACAAGGUUCGAGCACCGAUAACACGCAGCCUAGAGUCUCGUUCGCUAAUAAACGAACCGGUGCGGAUUUAAUCAAAGCCCGUCCUAAAAUGACUGACAUUGGAACAAUUCACUCUGACGUAAUGUCUGGAGGGCGGGUUCGAUUCCAACGUAGCCAGUUGAGCAGACUUGAUUCAAAUUUUACAAUGAAUGAUUCUUUCACUUCUAUCCGGUCAACUGUCUCAGGUCCGGUAGAUGGUGUGUGGGAACCUACCUUAAAUCCGUACGAACGGACAAACAGUACAAUUAUGCAAAACGGUGAAUUGAACAUAAAUGGAAACAGUUAUGACAGAUACAUUGGAUUUACUGAAAGAGAUUACCGCUACGGAACUAGGGUAGAAAAUGGCCUGGCAAAGGUCGAAGAAAUCUGAUUUUAUAUAAUUAUAUUGUUAUUUAAUAUGAACAUACCAAAGCCUUGUCGUGUGUAGAUAUUCAUUCCGUGCAUUAUCAUUUUAGAAGUAAAUCAUUAAUAAAAAUA